rnacentral:tRNA from 1 species
GGUCCCAUCGUCUAGCGGUUAGGACACCGGCCUCUCACGUCGGGAACACGGGUUCGAGUCCCGUUGGGACCA